AGCGAACGCUGGCGGCAGGCUUAACACAUGCAAGUCGAGCGGGCACUUUCGGGUGUCAGCGGCGGACGGGUGAGUAACGCGUGGGAACGUGCCCUCUGGUUCGGAAUAACUCAGGGAAACUUGAGCUAAUACCGGAUACGCCCUUUUGGGGAAAGGCUUGCUGCCGGAGGAUCGGCCCGCGUCUGAUUAGCUAGUUGGUGAGGUAACGGCCCACCAAGGCGACGAUCAGUAGCUGGUCUGAGAGGAUGAUCAGCCACACUGGGACUGAGACACGGCCCAGACUCCGACGGGAGGCAGCAGUGGGGAAUAUUAGACGAUGAGCGCAAGCCUGAACCAGCCGUGCCGCGUGAGUGAUGAAGGCCUUAGGGUUGUAAAGCUCUUUUAUCCGGGACGAUAAUGACGGUACCGGAGGAAUAAGCCCCGGCUAACUUCGUG
rnacentral:rRNA from 1 species